UUCCGGUUGAUCCCGCCGGACCUUACUGCUAUCGGGACGAGACUAAAACAUGCUAGUUGUGCGCACCCUAGCCACGUUGGGAGCGCAGCAAACGGCUCCGUAACACGUAGUCAAUCUAACCUUAGGACGGGGAUAACCCCCGGGAAACUGGGGCUAAUACCCGCUAGGCGAUAAAAGCCUGGAAUGGCAUUUCACCUAAAGGGUUUUAGUAACACGCUACUAAAACUGCCUAAGGAUGAGACUGCGGCCGAUUAGGUUGUUGGUGGGGUAACGGCCUACCAAGCCUAUGACCGGUACGGGCCCUGAGAGGGGGAGCCCGGAGAUGGGAACUGAGACAAGGUCCCAGACCCCACGGGGUGCAGCAGUUGCGAAACCUCUACAAUGCACGAAAGUGUGAUAGGGUUAUCCCGAGUGCCGUCCGAUGAGGAUGGCUUUUCCUCGGUGUAAGAAUCCGGGGGAAUAAAGGGGGGGCAAGACUGGUGUCAGCCGCCGCGGUAAUACCAGCCCCCUAAGUGGUAGGGACGAUUAUUUGGCCUAAAGCGUCCGUAGCCGGCUUAGUGAGUCUUUCGUUAAAUUCGGCGACUUAAUCGUCGGUGUGCGAGAGAUACUGCUAGGUUCGAGGACGGGAGAGGUCGACGGUAUUCCGGGGGUAGGGGCAAAAUCCUAUAAUCCUCGGAGGACCACCAGUGGCGAAGGCGGUCGACUAGAACGUGCCUGACGGUGAUGGACGAAAGCUGGGGGAGCAAACCGGAUUAGACACCCGGGUAGUCCCAGCCGUAAACGAUGUGGGCUAGGUGUUGGGGCAGCCACGAGCUGCUCCGGUGCCGCAGAGAAGUCAUUAAGCCCACCGCCUGGGAAGUACGGUCGCAAGACUGAAACUUAAAGGGAUUGGCGGGGGAGCACCACAAGGGUGAAGCCUGCGGUUCAAUUGGAGUCACGCCCGGGAAUCA
rnacentral:rRNA from 1 species